rnacentral:rRNA from 1 species
UACGGGGGGGGCAAGCGUUUGUUCGGAAUUACUGGGCGUAAAGGGCUCGUAGGUGGCCAACUAAGUCAGACGUGAAAUCCCUCGGCUUAACCGGGGAACUGCGUCUGAUACUGGAUGGCUUGAGUUUGGGAGAGGGAUGCGGAAUUCCAGGUGUAGCGGUGAAAUGCGUAGAUAUCUGGAGGAACACCGGUGGCGAAGGCGGCAUCCUGGACCAAUUCUGACGCUGAGUGAGCGAAAGCCAGGGGAGCAAAACGGGG